rnacentral:rRNA from 1 species
UACGUAGGGGGCAAGCGUUGUCCGGAAUUACUGGGCGUAAAGCGCACGUAGGCGGAUUUGUAAGUCAGGGGUGAAAUCCCGGGGCUCAACCUCGGAACUGCCUUUGAUACUGCAAAUCUCGAGUCCGAUAGAGGUGGGUGGAAUUCCUAGUGUAGAGGUGAAAUUCGUAGAUAUUAGGAAGAACACCGGUGGCGAAGGCGGCCCACUGGAUCGGUACUGACGCUGAGGUGCGAAAGCGUGGGGAGCAAACAGG